CCUACGGGGGGCAGCAGUCGAGAAUCAUUCACAAUGGGGGAAACCCUGAUGGUGCGACGCCGCGUGGGGGAAUGAAGGUCUUCGGAUUGUAAACCCCUGUCAUGUGGGAGCAAAUUAAAAAGAUAGUACCACAAGAGGAAGAGACGGCUAACUCUGUGCCAGCAGCCGCGGUAAUACAGCGGUCUCAAGCGUUGUUCGGAAUCACUGGGCGUAAAGUGUGCGUAGGCUGUUUCGUAAGUCGUGUGUGAAAGGCGCGGGCUCAACCCGCGGACGGCACAUGAUACUGCGAGACUAGAGUAAUGGAGGGGGAACCGGAAUUCUCGGUGUAGCAGUGAAAUGCGUAGAUAUCGAGAGGAACACUCGUGGCGAAGGCGGGUUCCUGGACAUUAACUGACGCUGAGGCACGAAGGCCAGGGGAGCGAAAGGGAUUAGAUACCCUUGUAGUC
rnacentral:rRNA from 1 species